UUUUUUUUUUUGAGAUGGAGUCUCACUCUGUUGUCCAGGUUGGAGUGCAGUGGUGUGAUUUUGGCUCACUGCAACCUCUGCCUCCCGCGUUCAAGCAAUUUUCCUGCCUCAGUGUCCUGAAUAGCUGGGAUUACAGGCGCCCGCCACCAUGCCUGGCUAAUUUUGUAUUUUUAGUAGAGACAGGGUUUCACCAUGUUGGUAAGGCUAGUCUCAAACUCCUGACCUUGUGAUCCGCCCACCUCAGCCUCCCAAAGUGCUGGCAAUUACAAGUGUGAGCCACAGUGCCCGGCCAGAAUAUUCUGUUUUUUUUACUGUGAUUCAUUUAAACAUUCUUUUUAAUUUCACCGAUAACAAAAUAGAAAUAAACAAAUAUGUAUAUACACACAUAUCUGUAUAUAUUACUUUAGGGGGGAUAAUCAAUUUCAUGUGUUUGAGGUUACAAAACAUAACAAGAGUUGAUCUGUGUAAAUUCAUGUUGCUUUGAAUCACUAAUGUUUAUUAAAUUCUCAUGGAGCACAAUGUGCAUCUCUUUGGUCGAUCUAUUGACACAAUUUCUACAAUUAUGAAGAGCGGUGAAGGGGCGGUAUUAGGGGAAAAGGCAUGUCCACGUGAUCUAAGACAAUGGGAUAUAGGGGAAAGGAGAGCGCUGUAAAAGGCUCCUGAUCCAUCCCAUGAUACGGCCACUGUCCAGCAGGCCUGACCUUCCCCUCAAUCUUGGGUUCUGGGAUAAAGGCUCUGGGUUUGGGCUGUUGGGAGAAGGGGAGUCACUUCGGGUAACUGGCAGCACUGGGAGGCCAGGACUCACUAUAGUCAGAACGACUCGGUUGCGUGUUCAUGGAAACCUCAGGUCCAACUUUAACCAGUCCGCUCUUGCUGGGCAAAGAGGAGAGAGGGCAUCCUGAACAUGUUUUCACCAGGGCCUGAAAUCUUAACAGCCUGACAUCACAAGGCUUAGAUUCCAGUGGAAAGAUGGGUGAUAAACACACACAGAAAUAAGCAAGAUAAUUUCAGCAAGAGGCAAGCGACGUGAAGGGUCAGAGACCGUGACUUGAUUGAGCCUGGCUUGGGAAAGUUGCGAAUCCUUCUUGGAUGAUGAAGUGUAGCUGAGACCUGAGUUAUGAGGAAUGAAUGGUGCUUGAAAUCCUGGCUGGUUUGGGAGAAAGCUCCUGUUUCAGCUCUCUCUCUGGUAAGAUUGUUCAGGAGCACAAGGUGCUGCUCCUCUCAGGGUUCCGCCAUCUGUCCGUUUUCUUGUGACAUUGUCUGAGGCGAGUUCUGCAAGACUAGGGACUUUGGGUCACCGCUGC
rnacentral:lncRNA from 1 species